rnacentral:lncRNA from 1 species
GUCCAUCCUUGGUCUCAAGUCUAGAUCAAGAGGUAUAAGACUAAACCUUCACUUUGUUCUUUAAUAAAAUGUUUUGAUGCAUUAUAUAUAAACCUAUGAACCUUGAAGGGGAUUUGCAUGACUAUAGCUUUGAUAAUAUUUGAUAAAUUGCUUCUGUUGCUCAUGUAUAUAAAUUUUGAAUUGUAUAUGCAUGCUAGUCAUUUAGAAAUCCCAUGUGUUAAACUCAUAAUUUUCCCUUCAAGUGGUAUCAAAGCCAAAGGUUUAUGUAUAAUGUGUCCUUUUGGAUUUUAUGCAUAUGGGUAUUAAUAUUAUGCAUGACAUAAUUAUUGCUUCAUUCAAAAUAAGUUUAUCUUUUGUUUUUCAAUAGUUGAAAAAUAUUAGUCAAUAGUUGAGAAAGAUAUGUAUGCAAAAGAUGUUUUGUAUGCAUGAAUGAAAAUUGAGUUUUGAACUAAUUUGACAUAUUAUUUCUUCAUUUAAAGUAUGUUUAUCUUUUGUUUUUCAAUGGUUGAAAAAUAUAAAUCAAGAGUUGAAAAAGAUAUGCAUGUAAAAGUUGUUUUGUAUGCAUGAAUGAAGAGUAAGUCAUGAACAAAAUUUUGGGGUUUUGUUCUUUGUGGUUGGCACGGUUUUGGGGAUUUUUGGGCAUGUGUUUGUGUUUUAUUGUAAGACACUCACACAUCAUUUUAAAGCUAGAAAGUAGAAACCUUGUCACUUUAGUUUUUGGGUUUGAAAAAUCACCAAGAAUACACAAAUCUUGAAAAUAUGUUCAUGGUUUUGUUCUUGGUGUUCAUAGUUUGGUUUUGGGUGAAAAUGGUUUUAUUUGGUUUUCAUGCAUAGUUUUAUGGUUUUGGAUGAUGUUCUUACCAUCCAUAACCAUAUUAAAACUUAUAAAACCCUAGACUUGUCUAGGAGAUUUCCAUCACCUUUUUCAUUAAAGCCUUUUAAGCCAAAACCAAGUGACAUGCAAAUUUGGAUUUUUCUACCUUGCAUUGAAUUAAAGCAAGAUGGGUGAGACUUCCCAUCUCCCCUUAAUGUGGCCGGCCACCCUAGUGGAUUUAUCCACUUUGGGGGUCUUUUGUAAUUUGGAAAAAUAUAUUUUAUACUUUUGAGUAUUUACAGUUUGACCCCUAACUUUUUCUUAUUUGCAUUUAGGCCCCUACUAACUAGAAAGUUAAAAUAUUUGAUUUUAAUUUUUUUAGUUGUUUAAACUCAUAAUUCUUUAUGCCCAUAUGCACUAAAUCUAAAUGUUCAUGUUGCAUUCCAUUUUGAUUAUUUAAUGUGAUUAAGUAGUUGGAAAAGGGUGACUAUGGACUUAUGCCUUAAACGAUAAUUGAGCUAUGAGAUAAGGCGCUAAAAUCAAAUUGUUUGAACCUUGGGAAUGUGUUUUAAUUACUGUUUUUUGUUGGACCUUGUCACAUUUGACUUUAAUCUAUCUCUCCCUCUUAGUAUGUGUAAUUUGUAGGAAUUUGUACAAAUCGGUUUGUAAUUC